rnacentral:rRNA from 1 species
UACGUAGGGUGCAAGCGUUGUCCGGAAUUAUUGGGCGUAAAGAGCUCGUAGGCGGUCUGUCGCGUCGGCUGUGAAAACCCGAGGCUCAACCUCGGGCCUGCAGUCGAUAUGGGCAAACUAGAGUACUGCAGGGGAGACUGGAAUUCCUGGUGUAGCGGUGAAAUGCGCAGAUAUCAGGAGGAACACCGGUGGCGAAGGCGGGUCUCUGGGCAGUAACUGACGCUGAGGAGCGAAAGCGUGGGGAGCGAACAGG